AGCAGCCGCGGUAAUUCCAGCUCCAAUAGCGUAUAUUAAAGUUGUUGCAGUUAAAAAGCUCGUAGUUGAAUUUCGGGAUUAGUACGUCGGUCGUGCCUUCGGUAUGUACUGGUGUCACUGGUUCCUCCCUUCUGACGAACCGUCAUGCCAUUAAUUUGGUGUGGCGGGAAAUCAGGACUGUUACUUUGAAAAAAUUAGAGUGUUUAAAGCAGGCUCACGCUUGAAUACAUUAGCAUGGAAUAAUGAAAUAGGACGUUGAUCUUAUUUUGUUGGUUUCUAGGAUUGACGUAAUGAUUAAUAGGGAUAGUUGGGGGCAUUAGUAUUCAAUUGUCAGAGGUGAAAUUCUUGGAUUUAUUGAAGACUAACUACUGCGAAAGCAUUUGCCAAGGAUGUUUUCAUUAAUCAAGAACGAAAGUUAGGGGAUCGAAGACGAUCAGAUACCGUCGUAGUCUUAACCAUAAACUAUGCCGACUAGGGAUCGGAUGAUGUUAAUUUUUUAAUGACUCAUUCGGCGCCUUAA
rnacentral:rRNA from 1 species